rnacentral:lncRNA from 1 species
UGUUGCCGUGAUAUAAGGUUGUCCUAAAAUCAACGGAUAAGACGUAUCUUGAACGAAGAAAUGUUGCUCCGUCGCAACAUCUCCAAUCCGAAUUUUGACAUCUGGACAAGCUCCAUAUAAUUCGCCUCGUGUAUUAUUAGCUGCUCGUAUUGCCCAUCCAUGUUCCAUAUCAAUUGGCCAUUUUUGCUUCUUAUAAAGAUCUUUAGACAUGAGAUUUAUUUCAGAACCAUGGUCCACCAAGGCAACUAUUGGUUCUUCUAUAUCUCCUACCUUCACCAAUACCUCAGUAGUUGCCCUUGCCCAAUGCUUUC